ACAAUCGCUAGCCCGACCCCAACCAAAUUAAACUAACAUAUUUAAUUAAACCAAAACAUUUACCCCCCCAUAAAAGUAUAGGAGAUAGAAAUUUUAAUCGGCGCUAUAGAGACAGUACCGUAAGGGAAAGAAUGAAAGAUUUAUUUAAAGUAAAAAAAAGCAAAGAUUACCCCUUCUACCUUUUGCAUAAUGAUUUAACUAGCACAACUUAGCAAAGAGAACUUAAGUUAAAUAUCCCGAAACCAGACGAGCUACCUAUGAACAGUCUUACAGGACAAACUCCUCUAUGUGGCAAAAUAGUGAGAAGAUUUAUAGGUAGAGGUGAAAAGCCUAUCGAGCCUGGUGAUAGCUGGUUGUCCAGAAAUAGAAUAUCAGUUCUAACUUAAACAUUACCUAAAAAAAUAAUAAUUAAAAUGUAAGUUUAAAAGAUAGUCUAAAAGGGUACAGCCUUUUAGAUGCAGGAUACAACCUUAAUUAGAGAGUAAGUACUAUACAUAACCAUAGUUGGCCUAAAAGCAGCCAUCAAUUAAGAAAGCGUUAAAGCUCAACAAUAAAAUUAUCUUAAUCCCAACAAUAAAAGCCAACUCCUAAUUCACAACUGGACUAUUCUAUUAUUAAAUAGAAGCAAUACUGUUAAUAUGAGUAACAAGAACUAUUUCUCCUAGCACAAGUUUAUAUCAGAACGGAUAACCCACUGAUAGUUAACAACAAAAUAUUUAUAACCCAACUAUAAAAAAAUAUUAAGUACAUUGUUAGCCCAACACAGGAGUGCAUCAUAGGAAAGAUUAAAAGAAGUAAAAGGAACUCGGCAAACAUAAACCCCGCCUGUUUACCAAAAACAUCACCUCUAGCAUAUCUAGUAUUAGAGGCACUGCCUGCCCAGUGACAUUAGUUCAACGGCCGCGGUAUCCUGACCGUGCAAAGGUAGCAUAAUCACUUGUUCUCUAAAUAAGGACUUGUAUGAAUGGCCACACGAGGGUUUUACUGUCUCUUACUUCCAAUCAGUGAAAUUGACCUUCCCGUGAAGAGGCGGGGAUAUAAAAAUAAGACGAGAAGACCCUAUGGAGCUUUAAUUAAUUACUUCAAUAAAGCAAGUAUUCCACCCAAACAGGACUAAAAGACCUUUUAAUGAAGUAACAAUUUUGGUUGGGGUGACCUCGGAGUAUAAAAAAACCUCCGAGUGAUAGAAGUUUAGACUGACUAGUCAAAACACAACAUCACUUAUUGAUCCAAAAAAUUGAUCAACGGAACAAGUUACCCUAGGGAUAACAGCGCAAUCCUAUUUAAGAGUCCAUAUCGACAAUAGGGUUUACGACCUCGAUGUUGGAUCAGGACAUCCUAAUGGUGCAGCAGCUAUUAAGGGUUCGUUUGUUCAACGAUUAAAGUCCUACGUGAUCUGAGUUCAGACCGGAGUAAUCCAGGUCGGUUUCUAUCUAUUUUUGGCUUCCCCCAGUACGAAAGGACAAGAGAAGCAAGGCCCACUUUACAAAAGCGCCUUCAAACUAAUAGAUGACCUAAUCUUAAUCUAAUAAACACAAAUUAUUACAACCCAAGAAAAGGGUUC
rnacentral:rRNA from 1 species